CAUCAUGUAGCUGGUUGCGUCUUCUUUAAUCUUUCUAAAUUUGUUAAGCAGAAGCAAGGGCAUCACGUAGCUGGUUGCGUUUCCUUUAAUCUUUCUAAAUUGGUUAAGAUGGAAUCAAGAGAAGAAAGGAAUAACUACUACAUUCAGAAAAUAUUUUCAGAUGUUGUUACAAAGGAACUUGUUGAUUUAUUUAUCCAAGAGUGGAACAUUAAUUACAAAAAAUCUCACGGAGAAUGGGAAAAUACAAACGU